rnacentral:misc_RNA from 1 species
GAAAUGCGAUACGUAGUGUGAAUUGCAGAAAUACGUGAACCAUCGAAUCUUUGAACGCAUAUUGCGCUCGAGGCUUCGGCCAAGAGCAUGUCUGCCUCAGCGUCGGGUUAAUCCUCACCCAUUCAACCCAAUCUUUGGUUUUGAAUGUGUGGAGCUGGCUUUCCCAGGCCUCGUGUCUGGGUUCGCUGAAGCACAGAGGUUGAUGCAUGGACCCGAUAAGGGCCGCAACUGGGUAGGCAACUUGUUGCUGAUGCUUUAGUUGUUGGCUUGGGCCUGUGGUUGUCGACCCGAAAUCAGGAAGGCUUCGGCCUAUUAACCUUUAUCUCGACCUGAGCUCAGGCAAGAACACCCGCUGAACUUAA